UACGGAGGGUGCAAGCGUUAUCCGGAUUUAUUGGGUUUAAAGGGUCCGUAGGCGGAAUUGCAAGUCAGAGGUGAAAGCCCACAGCUUAACUGUGGAACUGCCUUUGAUACUGCUGUUCUUGAGUAUAGUUGAAGUGGGCGGAAUGUGCGGUGUAGCGGUGAAAUGCAUAGAUAUCGCACAGAACACCUAUUGCGAAGGCAGCUCACUAAACUAUUACUGACGCUCAGGGACGAAAGCGUGGGGAGCAAACAGG
rnacentral:rRNA from 1 species